rnacentral:misc_RNA from 1 species
GAUGAAGAACGUAGCGAAAUGCGAUACUUGGUGUGAAUUGCAGAAUCCCGUGAACCAUCGAGUCUUUGAACGCAAGUUGCGCCCGAAGCCACUAGGCCGAGGGCACGCCUGCCUGGGCGUCACAUGCCGUUGCCCCCCCAUCUACUCCUUCGGGAUUGCGGGGGGGCGGAUGAUGGCCUCCUGUGCGCCUAGCCGCGCGGUUGGCAUAAAUACCAAGUCCUCGGCGACGCACGCCACGACAAUCGGUGGUUGCGAAACCUCGGUUGCCCGUCGUGUGCGUUCGUCGCGCAUCGAGGGCUCGAAAAAAUGCUCGGCUCCGGCUGGGCUUUCAACGCGACCCCAGGUCAGGCGGGGUUACCCGCUGAAUUUAAGCAUAUCAAUAAGCGGAGGA